ACUUACUGUAAUUACGGGAAACGAUUAUAUUUAACACUUUGAAACUUUUCAAUGUUGCGUGUGCACUUAGGAAAAUAUUCCAUAAUUACAAAAUGUCAACAACAACAAUUCAACAAAGUCAACAAUUACAAAAAUUAUGAUCGAAAUAACGUUGUGAAGAGCACAAUUUUCUGCCAAACUAAACCGAGUGGCAACAAAUCUCAGUGGAAAAUUUGGCAUAUAUCAUUUAGUUUAUAUCAACUUUUGUGAAAGUUUUUUUUUCAAUUGUACUGUUAUUGCUUGGUUUUUCUGUUCACAGAAUUAAAACUUAUGAAAUUACUGUAGUUUCAUACCUCAAUAUAAUGGUCGAAAUUAAGAUCCCAUAUUGUGCCUUUAACCCCUAAAUUCACAAAUGAACCCAAUUUUCGACUCCGUGCAACGAACUGAGAAAUAUCGUAGUAACUACGGAGAGGCUGAAAUUCCCGUCGCUGUUCUCGAAUUAACUACGUGAUAAGUAGAAGGGAUCAAAUAAAACUGCCAAACAUUAUGAAUGCCUAGAUCGCCGAUCCGACGUCUCGGCGGGUUUGUUUUGCUCGACAGCGGAAACAGCCAUCACGGGCUAUUUAGUUUAGCCUCGAUAUCGAUAUGGAACACAGGUCGCGUUUUGUUUUGGUAUUUUGAACUGUUUUAUUUUGCAGUUUGUGUUAUUUUUGGUUUUCUUCUUGGUAUUCUAGCGAAGAUCCGGGGUCCGUUGGAGGUACUUUGCCGCCCAGUAAGGGUUUCACUGUGCAACUUUAAGUGUGUACAGGGUAACCCCCCAGGGUUUUAUAUAUUGUCUUGUUAUAAAGUUUUAUUAAAGGCUUAACUAAUGAUAAUAAAGGUGCUGCCAUACUGAUCACGAAUAU